rnacentral:tRNA from 1 species
AUUUAUAUAGUUUAAAUUUAAAACUUUACAUUUUCAUUGUAAAAAUAAAAUAUUUAUUUUUAUAAAUA